rnacentral:rRNA from 1 species
GAUGAACGCUGGCGGCGUGCCUAAUACAUGCGAGUCGAGCGAACGGACGAGAAGCUUGCUUCUCUGAUGUUAGCGGCGGACGGGUGAGUAACACGUGGAUAACCUACCUAUAAGACUGGGAUAACUUCGGGAAACCGGAGCUAAUACCGGAUAAUAUUUUGAACCGCAUGGUUCAAAAGUGAAAGACGGUCUUGCUGUCACUUAUAGAUGGAUCCGCGCUGCAUUAGCUAGUUGGUAAGGUAACGGCUUACCAAGGCAACGAUGCAUAGCCGACCUGAGAGGGUGAUCGGCCACACUGGAACUGAGACACGGUCCAGACUCCUACGGGAGGCAGCAGUAGGGAAUCUUCCGCAAUGGGCGAAAGCCUGACGGAGCAACGCCGCGUGAGUGAUGAAGGUCUUCGGAUCGUAAAACUCUGUUAUUAGGGAAGAACAUAUGUGUAAGUAACUGUGCACAUCUUGGCGGUACCUAAUCAGAAAGCCACGGCUAACUACGUG